rnacentral:rRNA from 1 species
GGUCUCAAGCGUUGUUCGGAUUCAUUGGGCGUAAAGGGUGCGUAGGCGGCGCGGUAAGUCGGGUGUGAAAUUUCGAGGCUUAACUUCGAAACUGCAUUCGAUACUGCCGUGCUAGAGGACUGGAGAGGAGACUGGAAUUUACGGUGUAGCGGUGAAAUGCGUAGAUAUCGUAAGGAAGACCAGUGGCGAAGGCGGGUCUCUGGACAGUUCCUGACGCUGAGGCACGAAGUCCAGGGGAUCAAACGGG